rnacentral:lncRNA from 1 species
GCAGAAAGGAGAACUGAAGGAGAAGUCUAGAGAAGCCAGCUACACCUACAUUAGAAAGAGUGGAACAGAUCACGGGUCACAGGAUUAAGGCUAGAUGGGGUUUGAGAUGUGGGAAGACUUGAGGUCAUUUUGAGUUUUGAGAAAAGGAGAGACAUGAAGAGGCAGAAAACAUGUUUACUGGACCCAGCUACUUUGCAAAAUCCGUCCUGGAAUUUGGCACAUGUAUGGGAUAUGGAUAGAAAAUAAGAGCAAAGAGGAAUUCAAGAUAAUGAAGCAAUAUAAACAAAAGUUGAAAAGAGAAAAUGAGCAUGCAGUGCCUAGAGAUGCCAAGGAAUCCAGAUCACUGAGGUCAGAUAGAUGUGUCUUUCCAGAAUUUGAUGAGGUUAACCAGGUAGAGCCAGAUGGUAGAAAUCCUUGAAUACCAGGCAAGGGAGUUCAUCUCUCCACCUGUAAGCAUGAAGGAACCAUGGGAGAUUUUGCAAAGGGAAUGACCAAAACGAAAAUGGCAUUUAGGAAAUGAGUUUGCCAGAAGUACCUGGGAGAAAUGGGGACUAGGCACUGAGAAUGUAAUUCAUAGCACAGCAGAACAGAUACUAAAAGAUCGUUUUGGAAGCAGAAGGGCUGGUUUCCAGCUUUUCUGAGGUUGUUUCACUGUGGGUAACUGCUAAGGCCUUCACCCUUGAUGCCAGAGGUGCUGAAACACAUUGCCACACGGCGAAAGAAGUGCCCUAUUGGCCCAACCACAU